UUUAUAUGUUAAUUCUUUUAGAAGAAUCUUUUGGUUUACAUUUGUUUCACCUGAACACGUUUUACAGACUACGGUCAGCAAUUGAACAGGGACUCAUAUCGUACUGGAUGGAGAACGUUCCGAAUUUUACAGAGUGUGAAAACGUUCCAAAGAAGAUGUUGGUGACCUCUCACAUCUCGCUGUCUAACAUCUGGGGAGUGUUUGCGGUGCUGGCCGGGAGUCUGGUGGCCGGGCUGCUGGUCUUGGUGGUAGAGGUGGCUGUCACCCGCGGAAUAAGAUUUUAAUCGAUACAACUCCUCCAUGAACGGUGCGUUCAGGUGAGAUAGUGUGCCACGAUCUCCGCCAAGAGGACCACAGCGCCGGCACCCAGACCGAGACUCAGCAGCACGUACACAAUCUGCAACACACGACUCAGCAGCUCCCGAAGAGACAGCACGGUGCAGCAAUACAAGUGCGAGGAAGAGUCACU